CCUACGGGUGGCAGCAGUGAGGAAUAUUGGUCAAUGGGCGUAAGCCUGAACCAGCCAAGUCGCGUGAGUGAUGAAGGUUCUAUGGAUCGUAAACAUCUUUUAUAAGGGAAUAAAGUGUGGGACGUGUCCUAUUUUGUAUGUACCUUAUGAAUAAGGAUCGGCUAACUCCGUGCCAGCAGCCGCGGUAAUACGGAGGAUCCGAGCGUUAUCCGGAUUUGUUGGGUUUAAAGCGUACGUAGGCGGCCUUUUAAGUCAGCGGUGAAAGUAUGUGGCUCAACCAUAGAAUUGCCGUUGAAACUGGGGGGCUUGAGUAUGUUUGAGGCAGGCGGAAUGCGUGGUGUAGCGGUGAAAUGCUUAGAUAUCACGCAGAACCCCGAUUGCGAAGGCAGCCUGCCAAGCCAUGACUGACGCUGAUGCACGAAAGCGUGGGGAUCAAACAGGAUUAGAUACCCCUGUAGUC
rnacentral:rRNA from 1 species